GGGCGCCUCCCGCCUUGGGGCUGCCGGGGGGUCUGGUGCCCGGCUCCGUGCUCGGCCUGCCGGCUGCCCUGAGGCACCGGGGUCGUCCCUGUUGGUCCUCCCGCUCGUCCCCCUGCUUCCCCUUCCAUCACCCCUCUUGGUUCCCACCUUCACAUCCCAAACUGACACAACCCGGGUCGGUUUUGCUGCUGCUUUUGCGAUUCAGGGCAGCAGCCGGAUGACUGCUGUGACCCAAAAGACUUUUUUUGUUUUUUUUUUGUUUUUUUUUGGGGGGGUGGGGUGUUUUUGUUUUGGCUGCUGCUUGACGUGACUGACAGCAGCAGCACGAGCCAUCCCUCGGCAGAUUUACUUUCCAAAAUGAAAACCUGUCUGGUUUCAAAACCUCUGACUCAUCAAGGGAACAAACAAUUCUGUCGCGCGUGAGGGCUCAGGAACGCUCAAAUGCUGCAGGACCUGGGUGAGUCUGUGGAGGGCUCGGCGGGGGACGUGACUGGGUUCUUCCAAACUGUCUCGCAGGGGAUGGCUGCCACYGUGGGGUACGUGCACCUCCAGAAGGAGCGGCUCCCUAGUGAAGGGGGCACCGCGAACUGGAAGCCCAGGAAAGAAUGUUUACUGAAGAAUAUUCCAAAUGUUGCUGAUAGUGAGGCUCAAGAAGGUGAAUUCCCUGAUAUCUCUCACUAUGAAAAAGAUGUUAGUGGAUCUCCAGUUGAAUCUGUUUACUUCUGCUCGGAUCUGGAAGACUCGGAUGGUGAAGCAUCCAGUAUUCCUGAGGUUGCAACUUUUCCUGAGCUUCAAACUGCUGCUGAGUAUGAGGUGGAGGACUGGGAUAAGGAAUUGGAGGAUUCUGAAUUUAAUCCUUAUGAUGCUGGUGAUCUCCACUGUGGAAGCUUUCAGGAAAAUAAUCUUUUGGCCUCAUAUUCGUGGCGAGAGGAUUCGGUGUACAACCCAGGGUGUCACCAUGCAGCUCGCGUUGCUUUUACAUCGCCAAUUAGAAUGACUGAGACUGGCCAGUUUGAUGAUGCUGAAGAAUGAGGUUGCCCCUGGUCAGAAUUAAGUUUGGCUUCUGAGCUGGACUGUGUUCCUCACUGAUUAAGUCAUGUCAAGCCCUUUGGCUUGCUUGCGGAAUUCUGUAUAAGGUCAGAAGUGCCACACCAUCUCCGAAGUGUUUCUUAGACUGUUCCUGAGGUGUGUAUAAGCUGGCCAUGCUUGAUCUCUAGGAACCAGAGUGCAGGUGCUGGCUGUAAGGAGUCAGUCAUUUCUGGACUGCUCUUUGUGUUAUAUAGCUCUAUAUUGUUGCUGAUGAACUACUUGGGAGGAAGUGUCUGAUUUCUAAACAUCAGCUUGAUUGCCAAGUUUAGCCAGUUUUAACAUGCUGAUCCCAGUGUGUCAGCCUAUGUAACUUGUAGUUUUCUUUCCUUUGCAUUUGAUGCUAUCAAAUUGGUUCAGAUAGCUUUAAAAACUCUUCCUCCUUUCAACUUCUGUAUUGUAAUUCUAUGUUGCAGUUUCUCACUCCAUAUCUAAAUCUGGUGUUUGACAAAAUUAGCCAGGACACAUACAGAAUGAAUUGUUUUGUUUCUAAUUUUUUUAUGCCUUUCAGUAUGAAUGGGUUACAAGCAUUUGAUACACAUUUUGCUCUUACGCAUGUGGACAUUAAUGAGGAUUGGAUAGUUGGGCCUGCUGCACCUAAUAAGAAUGCUGGGUUUUAAGACUCUGCCUUCCAGCAGAGCUUUCUGCACAUCAGACUUUCUUGUAUUUGGGUGUAUUGUCGUCCAGUCUUACAAUUGUCUUUGUAGCAUCCUCAUGUGAUGUCAGACACGUAAUGAAGAAGAAAAUAUCUGUGCUUAUAUAGUGUCUUGCAGUAUAUGAUCUCAGCGUGUCCUGCAGACAGUAGUGAAUUAAGGUUCAUGACACUGCUGAUAUUUCUGUUGUUUUGUUGUUGUUGUUUGUGUUUUGAUAAGUGAGGAAAUGGCAACACAAAAUAUCUGCAAAAUGCCUCUUAAGAGAACAGCUGGAACUAGAACAAUAUCCCCCUUGCCCUUGCUUUGGAGUUAAAGGAAAUGUUCUAAAAUGAAGUAUGUAAGUGGACUGAGUGUCUGAUCACUUAGUAACGUUUCAUGUUUCAUUAAUAACUUUUCUUUCAAGAACUUUUUAAAGAUGUCAUGUUCUGACACUGAUUGUUGAUACUGAAGCACAGUACCUGUGUGUGUUUAUUCUUGGGCAAGGAGUUAACAUUUAGCACUGAAAGAUUUUKUUUGUUUGUUUGUUUGUUUUUUAAUCAUCCAGUGCAUGAGACUGAAAUAACUUGAAGUAUUAGUUAGGAAGGCGGAAGUGAAUGACACAGUAAUAUUUCCUUAAUCUUUUCCUUGAGAGCAGAGGAGGAGAAGAGCUUGGAAGAAUCUUUUCUGGUACGUUGCAGUUCCUGGUUAAAUACUAGUACCUAGCAAAUAAUCCAAGUAGAGGCUGGAAGCUUAGAGAUAAGGUUGCAGCAAAGACAACCUGUUCUUUUAUUCCUGUGUGAUGGAGUGCUGUAAGGAGUAAUACUUCGAUCAAAAGUUACCUCAGCAUGCUUCCAGAACACAUGCAUAUACAGCAAAAGCACACUCUAACAGUUUGUUCUUAGCCUUGCCCAGCAGGAAAGCACUAGCUGUGCUCUCUAAGGCAUUGGAGGUGGGUUUUGUUCUGUGUCUGACUGCUGUGUGUUAGAGACAGUUCACUGCUCUUUAUGAUGAGUAGAGCUUUGCAUUUUAGUUAGAAGCCUCUGUGGAAUAGAAGUAAGAAUUGACUAUGCCAGACUUGGAUGUAUAGCAGCUUCUUUCUACAACCUAGAAAAUGGAAAUGAAGCUCGGAGCAUAACUAUGACUGACCACCAACUGAUUAAAGUUGCUGCUCUGCAUUUAUAAAUACACUAUAAAUAAAUAUAUAUUGAGUACAGAUUAGUUUUGAAGU
rnacentral:lncRNA from 1 species